GGGAAACGGAAACCGGGCUUGAGAUAAGAGCCAACCCAAGCCCCAGGCCAAGUAGGCUCC
rfam:Dipodomys ordii contig_49602, whole genome shotgun sequence.